rnacentral:lncRNA from 1 species
GCGCAAUAAUUUAGUUUAUUGAAUUUGUAGUGUUUAGUAUUAGCAUAAUUGAUCUAGACCAUAUUGCUGAAAUCUAAGGAAUUUGAUGAAAAUCCUUCUCUAUACUAGGAUUACAUUUAUGUGAAAUCGUAUGUGCUUGGUGGGGGAGAUGGGUAGUUUGGUUGAAGGUCAAUGAGUUUGAGAAUUGAGGUGGAGAAGAGAUCUCUUUGUCUGGGAGCUUAAUCUCUUGGAAAGUCUCCAUGAAAUUUUUAACCGCUCAACAAUCUCUACAACUGAUGAUUCUUGGUUUUGGAAGCAUGAUUCAACCGGCCACUAUUCAGUUAAGUAGGCUUUUUUUGGCACUUAGUCCUUCCACAUCUUAUGAGGUCAUCUUCUCUGCAGAGGAAGAAAGGAUGCUCCAAAAGUGUGGAAAACUUGGGCCCAUUCAAAAGUGGUGUUCUUCUCUUAGCAACUUCUGCAGGAUGGUUGCCGACUCGUCAACGAUGCACCUAAAAAUAUAGGUUCUUUUGCAAGAUAAUAUCUGAUCAAUAAUAUAGACCAAAUACAUUAAUUUUAUAAUGACCUUAAAAAUGUGAAUUUUGAUUAUAUUUUGUCACCGAUAUACUGCAUUAACAAUUCAUACAAUUUUGCGGAUAAAGAUAUCAACGAUGCAUCAUGCAUGCAUGAUUUCUAUCAAUAACUUUGUCAUGAUCCAACUAUAUUAUUUUUUGUGUUAUUUUUCCUUUUUAUGGUGAAAGGUUAAAAAUAAUGAUAUGUUAAAUGUUGUUAAAAAAUUAUGAAUUCUCACGAUUGGCAAGUUUUUUAGACCUCCUUACUAAGUGUGCUAAAGAGACAAAUUCAACUCAUUGAUGUACUUAAGAGACAUUUAGUAAUAUAUGAUUCUAAUUUUAUAAAGGUUUUUUGUUUUACAAUUCUAUAAGUGCUGAAAAAAAUUAAUUGAUGUAAAGGUAGCAUGAACUUUAUAUAUCAUAGUGUUCAAACCAUUUUCUAUUUGCUAUACAUGCAGAGGGAGAAUAUAUAAUGGCCAAAAUUAUGAAAAAAAAUUAUGCUAUUAUCCUUUUUCUUUCCCUAUUUCUACUUGCAUCAGAAGUUAAUGGUAAGCUAUUUUUUCACCCUUUUUAAGGUUUGUUCUUAACUUGGUAUAUAAUAUUUUAGUAACAUUCUUAUAUUAUUUUUUGAUUGCAGCCUUUGUUGAAUGUUAUUAUAACAUUGAUUGUCCACAAAUGUGUUAUGCUAAUUUUGUUAUCAAGUGUAUUAAUGAAAAGUGUCUAUGUGUUCAAAAGGAUGUUUCAGUACCAUGAAAGCCUAUAUGCUAGGGACCUUGCUUUAAUGACUUUGUACUAUAAGAUGAUAGUAGUAUAAAAUGAAAUAAGGAAAUUGUCUAUGAUAGUCUCUCUAAUUUUU